UCAGUGGUUUAAUGGUAGAACAUCAGCCUUCCAAGCUGAGAGCGAGGGUUCGAUUCCCUUCUGGU
rnacentral:tRNA from 1 species